AAAGGACAUAACGCUCUGGUCUUCACCUCAGUUCUCUCCUUAACGCUCGCUGAGUUCGCGUUCCGUCGUCACACUAGGGUUUCAUCUCCGUCGAUCGCCUUUCCAUCUCACAAGAUUGCUACGUUGGUUUGUGUUUUCUUCUUCCGACCACCACAAACCCCCAUUUCUUCCUGACGGACCACUCCUCCCUCACCACCAUCCACCGUUUCACUGGUAGUGAAUUGGCAGUAAAAUGAAGGGCUUGGAUGAAGGUGAACGUGAAGAGAAAUAGCAGAAUACAGCUGAUUGUGUCCAUCUCUUGAGGUUGCUCUUCCUGAGGAUACCGCUACCCGAAGAUGUUUCUGGCAACAACACAUUGAAUCUAUCGUAGCACGUCAAGAAAAAAAGCUUACAAGUGGAAAUUUUUACUGAAGACACCUUGUUCAGUUUAUCAUAUGGCAAGCAUUCUGGGAAAUUUAUGGCAAGCAUCUGUACACCGAAGUCAGGUUUAGGGGUGUCAGUUGCAGCAAGAAUAAUCUCCACAUUAAAGCAGGUCACCAUGAAGCUAGCAAGUUACUACUAGCUGGAGGAGAAUAAAGGCCAGGUGAGACUUGUGAUAAUCUUCAUGUGACAUUGCAUUAAAGUAGUCUUGAAGAUAGAUGUUGAUAAAGUAUAGCCAUUAUAAUACGGACAAUCUGCAUUAAUAAAAAAGCUCACCUACUGGGUUCUGUAAGAGCAUCUUUAACCAUGAUACUCACUAAAGUAUUUACAUUCUACUUUUUACAACUUUUAAUAAUGCCACAUCAUCUACAUCUUUUAAUUAAUUUUUACUCCAACCCAACAACUCUUAAAAGUUUAUAUAAAAAAUUAUUUUACUAAUUGCAAGUUUUAUUUAAACCUUUUACAUUAAGCAAUAAUAAAUGCAAACACACUUUUCAUGACUAAAUUGAGUAUCUACAUUCACAUACUCUCACUAGCCAUGUUGGAAUUAAAAAUUUGCUCCAAUGGUAAUAGAUAUUGGUGAGAGUAUGUAUUUGACAUUACAUACUCCCAUUGGAGAUGCUCUAACAAUAAGAAAAUAGUUGAGUGGGGGCGGGUGACUCACUCUUCUCUCUCCCACAUUGCCACCAUUAUAUCACUAAGUAUUUCUUAGUGCAUAUGACAUUGAAACUUUCCCUCCUUCCAACUAUCAUGUAAAGACUGAGAAUCUGAGACACAGAAAAAGCAUUGUUACAAUAUUUAGGAUAGGGGUACGAAUACAAGGGUUUCAUUCCAAUUUUUCCUAAAUAACUGUGCUGUGGGUUUGAGCUAGCUAUUAGUUGUGAGGAUUCAACAUAAGCUUUCAAGAUCACAUUUGUAUUACGAUCCAGUUGUAAGGUUGGCUAUAGUUCGAUAAGGCUGUCUAGGGAGAGCAGGUGGCUGCUGGAAUUAGUUAUUCUAUCUGUGCUUCAGAUCAGAAGUUCUAUUUUUUACUUUAUUGCUUUUCUUCCUAAUUGCUCAAAUUAGAAAUGGAAUCCUUUGGUGUAUCCUUUAGGCUAGUAAUAGAAAUAGGAUCCUUCUUGAUUGUUUUAGUACAACAUUUGUAUUAGGACUUAGGAUACCAUUGUACUUUUUCUUUUGUAGUUUGUACUUUAGGAGACAAGUACAACAUUUGUAUUGAUUGUCUUAGAACAUUUGUAUUAGGAUAUUUUAUUGUACUUUAUAUUUUGUAGUUUGUACUUUAAGACACAGCCUUGUACUUUGUAGAUGUAUAGGAUAUUCAUUUGUAAUUUUAUUUUUAUAUAGUUGAGAACUUUGGACACUUCACUCUUGGGAUACUUGGUUUAUCCCUUCUGGUUGUUUUGUUUGUGUGUGAGGAUGAGUCGAGAAGAAAUAUGAUUCAUUGAUUGAUUCUUUAGGCUAGAAAUAUGAUCCUUUUGAGGUCCAAUAUGCUUGCUUUGUUUGCUUAACUUCUUGCUCUUCAUUGCCGUUGCAUUUGGGAAAAUGCUACUCUUGUUGAGAACUUUCCCCACUUCACUUUUGGGAUCUUUUGGUACGCUAUUUGGUUGUUUAAUUUGUUUGUAUGAGCGAGUUACUUUAGACAUUGAAUCCGUUUGAGUGCCAGAGGGUUGAUUAUUUUUGUACAUUUAUAAUUUGUUGUACUUUUUCUUUUAUAGUUUGUAAUUUAGAACACAAAGCAUUGUACUUUGUAGAUCUCUUGUAUAGGAUAUUCAUUUGUAAUUUACUUGUAUCUUGUUGAGAGACAUUGGACACUUUAUUUUUUGUACCUUUGGCUGAUUCGUACUUGGUUAUUUUAUUUGUUUGUGUGAGUGAGUUACUUUGGACAUUGAAUCAUUUUGAGCGCUAUAGGGUUGAUUAUUUUUGUACAUUUAAUAUUUUUUGGUACUUUUUCUUUUAUAGAUUGUAAAUUAGAACACAAAGCAUUGUACUUUGUAAAUCUCUUGUAUAGGAUAUUCAUUUGUAAUUUACUUUUAUCUUGUUGAGA